rnacentral:rRNA from 1 species
GUCGUAACAAGGUUUCCGUAGGUGAACCUGCGGAAGGAUCAUUAACGAGUUUUGAAAGGGGUUGUAGCUGGCCUUCCGAGGCAUGUGCACGCCCUGCUCAUUCCACUCUACACCUGUGCACUUACUGUGGGUCUCAGGCGAGCGUCGGUCGCUUCGCGGCGUCGUCGUUCAACUGGGCUCACGUUUUACUACAAACUAUUAAAGUAUCAGAAUGUCUACUGCGAAUUAACGCAUUUAAAUACAACUUUCAGCAACGGAUCUCUUGGCUCUCGCAUCGAUGAAGAACGCAGCGAAAUGCGAUAAGUAAUGUGAAUUGCAGAAUUCAGUGAAUCAUCGAAUCUUUGAACGCACCUUGCGCUCCUUGGUAUUCCGAGGAGCAUGCCUGUUUGAGUGUCAUGAAAUUCUCAACCUAACGAGUCUUUGCGGGCUCGGUAGGCUUGGACUUGGAGGUUCUUGUCGGCCUUAACGGUCGGCUCCUCUUAAAUGCAUUAGCUCGGUUCCUUGCGGAUCGGCUCACGGUGUGAUAAUUGUCUACGCCGCGACCGUUGAAGCGUUUUGGCCGGCUUCUAAUCGUCUCGUUGGAGACACUACUCUUUAUGACCUUCUGACCUCAAAUCAGGUAGGACUACCCGCUGAACUUAAGCAU